GAUGAACGCUGACAGAAUGCUUAACACAUGCAAGUCCACUUGAAUUUGGGUUUUUUCCCUUAGAUUUGGGUGGCGGACGGGUGAGUAACGCGUAAAGAACUUGCCUCACAGCUAGGGACAACAUUUGGAAACGAAUGCUAAUACCUGAUAUUAUGAUUAUAAGGCAUCUUAGAAUUAUGAAAGCUAUAUGCGCUGUGAGAGAGCUUUGCGUCCCAUUAGCUAGUUGGAGAGGUAACGGCUCACCAAGGCGAUGAUGGGUAGCCGGCCUGAGAGGGUGAACGGCCACAAGGGGACUGAGACACGGCCCUUACUCCUACGGGAGGCAGCAGUGGGGAAUAUUGGACAAUGGACCAAGAGUCUGAUCCAGCAAUUCUGUGUGCACGAUGACGUUUUUCGGAAUGUAAAGUGCUUUCAGUUGGGAAGAAAAAAAUGACGGUACCAACAGAAGAAGUGACGGCUAAAUACGUG
rnacentral:rRNA from 1 species